UCAUUAUUCAGUCUUCAGUUAAGGGUCCUGGACAUAUUGAUUCGAGGGUUGAGUCUCUACUCAAGGACCUUGAGAGUAAACUUUACAAUAUAAGCGAUGAAGAAUUCAAGAGCAAUGUAACAACUUUGAUAGACAUGAAGCUCGA